rnacentral:rRNA from 1 species
AUGGCUGACAGGCUCAUGAAGAGGCGGUGGCCAAACUGCUACUUCUGUCCGCUUUGCAGGAGAAAUCUUGAAACGGAUGACCACCUCUUCAUCGACUGCGCAUGGUCGCGUGAUCUGUGGCAAGCGUUCGCCAUUCGCUUUCGCUGUACUUCCCAACCUGCUACGUGGCCUUCGCAGCCUCCCCUGGCUGACUGGAUCCAGGGUCUGCCAACUGGGAGGGACUGCGCGUCUGUAAAACGUGGCAGAUCCAUCACUCUUCUGACCCUUUGGCACAUUUGGAAGGAGCCGAAUGAUAGAAUCUUCCGCGACGUGGACAAAUCUACAGCCCAGGUGCUAGGAGCUGUCUCAGAUGAUCUUACCGAAUGGGUUUUAGCUGGGGGUGCCCAUCUGAUGCCGCGAGAGUAG